UACGGAGGGUGCAAGCGUUGUCCGGAAUCACUGGGCGUAAAGGGCGCGUAGGCGGCUCAUGAAGCUGUGGUGAAAGUCCGGGGCUCAACCUCGGAUCGGCCGUGGCGACUCGUGGGCUGGAGCACUGUAGAGGCGGGUGGAAUUCCGGGUGUAGCGGUUGGAAUGCGUAGAGAUCCGGAAGAACACCAGUAGGCGAAGGCGGCCCGCUGGGCAGUGGCUGACGCUGGAGGCGCGACAGCGUGGGGAGCAAA
rnacentral:rRNA from 1 species